CAAGCGUGAGGUAAGGGCAAUUGGUGGAUGCCUUGGCAUACACAGGCGAUGAAGGACGUGGCACGCUGCGAUAAGCGUCGGUGAGUUGUGAGCAAACUUUGACCCGACGAUUUCCGAAUGGGGAAACCCAGCUUCACUAUUAAAUUUCGUUACUGAGUAAUCAGUGCCGGAGUUUAAUAGGGAGGUUAUCACUUUGCUGAAUAAAAUAGGCUUAGUGAAGCGAACCCGGGGAACUGAAACAUCUCAGUACCCGGAGGAAAAGACAUCAACCGAGAUUCCGUUAGUAGUGGCGAGCGAACGCGGACCAGGCCAGUGCCUGAUGAUUAGUUAGCAGAACAGUUUGGAAAGACUGGCCAUAGCGGGUGACAGCCCCGUAUGCGAAAACAACUCAUCAGGACUUGAGUAGGGCGGGACACGUGUAAUCCUGUCUGAAUAUAGGGGGACCACCCUCUAAGCCUAAAUACUCGUGUAUGACCGAUAGUGAACUAGUACCGUGAGGGAAAGGUGAAAAGCACCCCGAUGAGGGGAGUGAAACAGUACCUGAAACCGGUUGCCUACAAGCAGUGGGAGCAUCCUUGAGAUGUGACCGCGUACCUCUUGCAUAAUGGGUCAGUGACUUAAUGUAUCAAGCAAGCUUAAGCCGAUAGGUGUAGGCGCAGCGAAAGCGAGUCUGAAUAGGGCGACUUAGUUUGAUGCAUUAGACCCGAAACCCGGCGAUCUAGGCAUGACCAGGGUGAAGGUGCGGUAACACGCACUGGAGGCCCGAACCGAUUAACGUUGAAAAGUUACCGGAUGAGUUGUGUUUAGGGGUGAAAGGCCAAUCAAGCCGGGAAAUAGCUGGUUCUCCGCGAAAACUAUUGAGGUAGUGCCUCGGAUGUUUUCCUCAGGGGGUAGAGCACUGGAUGGGCUAGGGGGUCGCGAGAUCUACCAAACCUAACCAAACUCCGAAUACCUGAGAGUAUAGUCCGGGAGACAGACGGCGGGUGCUAAGGUCCGUCGUCAAAAGGGAAACAGCCCUAACCUACAGCUAAGGUCCCCAAGUCAUCACUAAGUGGGAAAGCAUGUGGGACUUCCAAAACAACCAGGAGGUUGGCUUAGAAGCAGCCAUCCUUUAAAGAAAGCGUAACAGCUCACUGGUCUAAUUAAGAGGUCCUGCGGCGAAGAUGUAACGGGGCUAAAGUGAUGCACCGAAGCUUAGGGUUCAGUAUUUAUACUGAGCGGUAGCGGAGCGUUCCGUAAGCCGUUGAAGCCAUCUGGUAAUGGGUGGUGGAGGUAUCGGAAGUGCGAAUGCUGACAUGAGUAGCGAUAAAGAGGGUGAGAUGCCCUCUCGCCGAAAGACCAAGGGUUCCUGCGCAAGGCUAAUCCGCGCAGGGUGAGUCGGCCCCUAAGACGAGCCCGAAGGGGGUAGUCGAUGGGAACACGGUUAAUAUUCCGUGACCUGGUGGUGUGUGACGGAUCUCGUAAGUCGUCAGUCCUUAUUGGAUUGGUAUUGGCGGCGAAGAGGUUCCAGGAAAUAGCCCCACCGUAUAGACCGUACCCGAAACCGACACAGGUGGUCAGGUAGAGUAUACCAAGGCGCUUGAGAGAAGUCUCCUGAAGGAACUCGGCAAAUUGCCUCCGUACCUUCGGAAGAAGGAGGCCCCACAUCAAGGCAACUUUUUGUGGGGGGCACAGGCCAGGGGGUAGCGACUGUUUAGCAAAAACACAGGGCUCUGCUAAGUCGGCUUCAAGACGACGUAUAGGGUCUGACGCCUGCCCGGUGCCUGAAGGUUAAGAGGAGGUGUGCAAGCACCGAAUUGAAGCCCAGGUAAACGGCGGCCGUAACUAUAACGGUCCUAAGGUAGCGAAAUUCCUUGUCGGGU
rnacentral:rRNA from 1 species